AAUUUAAUAGUAUACAUUCAUAUAAAUCUCACAAUAUGGCUGAGAAGUUUCUACCAAGUGACCGUAAAUUACUUGACUAUGAAUGAAAAAU
rnacentral:ncRNA from 1 species